UCAGCUGUCUCCUCCGGAGGGAGUGCCGAGGAGGGGGCCACAGCCGCCCCACGCAGGCCUGUGUCCCUAGAGGUGUGUAGGGUUCUCCAGAGAAGGAUCUGUCUUAGUCAUGUGCAAGACCACAGUGGGGGCCUUAUAGUGGCCGUGGGUGCCCCGGCCAUAGCCCCCAGGGGCCCGGCAGGCCUUUGCCCGGGCCCGGCCAGCUGCCAUCUUGCGGUGGCACAGGCUCUGCCAGGUCUGGAAAGUCUUGGAGCUCCACACCCAGACGCCGCUGGUGAUGCCCACCACCAACGACAUGAAGAUUUUGAGCAUAAAAACAGCCACGGUGGGCACCGAGCCCCCUUGCAGCGAGCAGUCCCUCCGGCCGCCGGGCGUGGUGGCCGCGGAGCAGGCCUGUUCCGUGGCCCGCAAGCGCCAGAAGUCCAUGUUGAGGCGUUCGUAGACGUAGCACACAAUGACGCAGGUGGCAGGCACGGUGUAAAGGAUGGAGAAGACCCCAAUCUUGACCAUGAGCUUCUCCAGCUUCUCCGUGUUGGUGCCCCCGGUCUUCAUGAUCUUGCGGAUGUGGAAGAGGGCCACGAAGCCAGUCAGGAGGAAACUCGUGCCCAGCACCAGGUAGCAGGAGAGGGGCACCAGCACGAAACCGGUGAGCGCCGCCGCGUCCAUAUUGGCCACAUAACAGAGCCCGGUCAGCUCAUCCCCCGCCACCUUGCGCAGCGUCAGGAUAAUAAUGGUCUUGAGGGCUGGCAGGCCCCAGGCUGCCAUGUGGAAGUAGCUGCCGUGGGCCUCGAUGGCCUCGUGGCCCCAUUUCUUGCCGGCGGCCAGGAACCAGGUGAGGGUCAGCACCACCCACCAGAGCGAGCUGGCCAUACCGAAGUAGUAGAGCAGCAGGAAGACGAGGGUGCAGCCCGUGUUCUCCAGGCCCUCCUGGAUCACGUAGAGCGCACCCGCCUCCUGGUCGCAGGCCACGCUCUGGGCCCCGGCCACGGCCCGGAUGAGGAAGGCCAGCGAGUAGACGUUGUAGCACAUGGAGAGGAAGAUGAUGGGACGCUCCGGGUACUGGAAGCGGUGCGGCUCCAGCAGGAAGGUGAGCACGGUGAAGGCGGUGGAGAAGAAGCACAGCGCCGACCACACGGCCAUCCAGACGAGCGCGAAGUCCUUGUCGCGCCGCGACCAGAACACCUCGACGCCUGGCCCGCAGCGCGGCGCGCACGAGCGGCUCUUCUCUACGUACUGGAACUUCUCUGGGUUCUCGCAGGUGCCGCCGGCGCCCUGGAGGGCGUCCUCGGCGGGCCGCGCGGGCCGCGGCGCCACGGGCAGCAUGCCCAGGCCCUUGUGGGGCUCGGUGGGGCCAGCCGUGGCGUUCUCCGGCGCCUCCAUGCAGAGCGCGUGCGGGUCGUUGCGCGUGGGCAGCCGGGCGCAGUCCAGCGAGUCCGGCCAGCCGAAGUUGAACUGCUCCAUGAUGGGCGCGCAGCGGAGGCGCGCCUGCUCGCACAUGGGCCGGCAGGCGGGGAUGGGCGUCGAGACCUGGUCGGUGCACAUGGGCGCGUAGAGCGAGCACAGGAAGAAGCGCAGGUGGCUGUGACAGCCGUACUGCACGAGCGGCGCGAACUCGGCCAGCUCGGCGGCCGCCUCGCCCUGCGACGUGUGGCCCAGCAGGUUGGGCAUACGGGUCAGGUUGUAGCCGAUGCCGCGGCACAUGGGGAUCUCCACCACCUGGCACGGCGCCGGCCCGCGCCCGCGCUCGCGCUCCGGGUCGAAGCGGCCGAUCUCCAGCGCCGCGCCGCCCGCAGCCAGCAGCUGCCACAGCAGCAGCGCCCGGCGGAGCGGCGGCACGGCCAUCCCGGGCGGUCCCGGCCGAGGGCGGGGAGGGCGGCCCCGCCUCACUCGGGCCGCGCCGUCCGGCGCCCCCGUGCCCGCCCGCCACGUCGCCGGGUGCGGGCCAUAGCGGAGCCGGCCGCGUGUGUCCCUGCGCGGCCGGGCGCCCUGGGCAGCGCGCGGAGAAGUCGCCCGAGGGAAAGGAGACGCCAAGCCACCGCCGCCGCCGCCGCUACUCGAACCGCCGCCGAGCCGGAGCAGGCGCCGCCUCCCGGGGCCGCGGGUACAAGCCUUGGGGCGGGGCGCCUGCUGGACACGCCCAAGGGCGGGGCCUUUGCGCGCCCGACACGCCCCCCGACCGGGCUUUAA
ensembl:lncRNA